AGAGUUUGAUUAUGGCUCAGAUUGAACGCUGGCGGCAGGCUUAACACAUGCAAGUCGAGCGGAAACGAUGAAAGCUUGCUUUCAGGCGUCGAGCGGCGGACGGGUGAGUAAUGCAUAGGAAUCUACCUAGUAGUGGGGGAUAACGUUCGGAAACGGGCGCUAAUACCGCAUAAUUCCCACGGGGGAAAGCAGGGGCUCUUCGGACCUUGCGCUAUUAGAUGAGCUUAUGUCGGAUUAGCUAGUUGGUUGGGUAAUGGCCUACCAAGGCGACGAUCCGUAGCUGGUUUGAGAGGAUGAUCAGCCACACUGGGACUGAGACACGGCCCGGACUCCUACGGGAGGCAGCAGUGGGGAAUAUUGGACAAUGGGGGCAACCCUGAUCCAGCCAUGCCGCGUGUGUGAAGAAGGCCCUAGGGUUGUAAAGCACUUUCAUUGAGGAGGAAGGCCACUUGAUUAAUACUCAAGUGGAUUGACGUUACUCAAAGAAGAAGGACCGGCUAACUCCGUGCCAGCAGCCGCGGUAAUACGGAGGGUCCAAGCGUUAAUCGGAAUUACUGGGCGUAAAGCGCGCGUAGGCGGUUAGUUUAGCGAGAUGUGAAAUACCUGGGCUCAACCUGGGAAUUGCGUUUCGAACUGGCUAACUAGAGUGCAGUAGAGGGUGGUGGAAUUUCCAGUGUAGCGGUGAAAUGCGUAGAGAUUGGAAGGAACAUCAGUGGCGAAGGCGACCACCUGGACUGACACUGACGCUGAGGUGCGAAAGCGUGGGUAGCAAACAGGAUUAGAUACCCUGGUAGUCCACGCCGUAAACUAUGUCUACUAGUUGUUGGGGGUCUUGUACCUUUAGUAACGCAGCUAACGCAUUAAGUAGACCGCCUGGGGAGUACGGCCGCAAGGUUAAAACUCAAAUGAAUUGACGGGGGCCCGCACAAGCGGUGGAGCAUGUGGUUUAAUUCGAAGCAACGCGAAGAACCUUACCUACUCUUGACAUCCAGUGAACUUAGCAGAGAUGCUUUGGUGCCUUCGGGAACACUGAGACAGGUGCUGCAUGGCUGUCGUCAGCUCGUGUUGUGAAAUGUCGGGUUAAGUCCCGUAACGAGCGCAACCCCUGUCCUUAGUUGCCAUCAUUCAGUUGGGCACUCUAAGGAGACUGCCGGUGACAAACCGGAGGAAGGCGGGGACGACGUCAAGUCAUCAUGGCCCUUACGAGUAGGGCUACACACGUGCUACAAUGGCCAGUACAGAGGGUUGCCAAGCCGCAAGGUGGAGCUAAUCUCGCAAAACUGGUCGUAGUCCGGAUUGGAGUCUGCAACUCGACUCCAUGAAGUCGGAAUCGCUAGUAAUCGUGGAUCAGAAUGCCACGGUGAAUACGUUCCCGGGCCUUGUACACACCGCCCGUCACACCAUGGAAGUGGGUUGCACCAGAAGUAGCUAGUCUAACUUUCGAGAAGACGGUUACCACGGUGUGAUUCAUGACUGGGGUGAAGUCGUAACAAGGUAACC
rnacentral:rRNA from 1 species